UAGGGAAUCUUCGGCAAUGGGGGCAACCCUGACCGAGCAACGCCGCGUGAGUGAAGAAGGUUUUCGGAUCGUAAAGCUCUGUUGUAAGAGAAGAACGUGUGUGAGAGUGGAAAGUUCACACAGUGACGGUAACUUACCAGAAAGGGACGGCUAACUACGUGCCAGCAGCCGCGGUAAUACGUAGGUCCCGAGCGUUGUCCGGAUUUAUUGGGCGUAAAGCGAGCGCAGGCGGUUUAAUAAGUCUGAAGUUAAAGGCAGUGGCUUAACCAUUGUUCGCUUUGGAAACUGUUAAAAUUGAGUGCAGAAGGGGAGAGUGGAAUUCCAUGUGUAGCGGUGAAAUGCGUAGAUAUAUGGAGGAACACCGGUGGCGAAAGCGGCUCUCUGGUCUGUAACUGACGCUGAGGCUCGAAAGCGUGGGGAGCAAACAGG
rnacentral:rRNA from 1 species